rnacentral:rRNA from 1 species
UACGGGGGGGGCAAGCGUUUGUUCGGAAUUACUGGGCGUAAAGGGCUCGUAGGCGGCCAACUAAGUCAGACGUGAAAUCCCUCGGCUUAACCGGGGAACUGCGUCUGAUACUGGAUGGCUUGAGUGUGGGAGAGGGAUGCGGAAUUCCAGGUGUAGCGGUGAAAUGCGUAGAUAUCUGGAGGAACACCGGUGGCGAAGGCGGCAUCCUGGACUACUACUGACGCUGAGUGAGCGAAAGCCAGGGGAGCAAACGGG